CCCGGCCCAACCAAACACCCUUAUUUCUCCUAAACCCUAUUAAAGCAACAGCUUCCAACCAAUAGCAGCAGCUCCUAACCGUAACAACAUUAACAACACUACGCAACGCAGCAACCCAACUGAAACAAAACAACAUACAAAUGCCAUAUAAUGCCAACAACGAUAAUUCCCAAACAACGGAUUCAAUAACAUCAACUUCAACAGCGUACAAACCUUCUGCCAAACCAACCAACAAAAAGUUCUUGAGAAUUCUAGUCCCACAUCGGCUGGAAAUACCCCAUUCCUAGAUUUGAAACUCUAUACAAAGGGCUUCUCGUUCUUCAUUUUGGGGGUGGUUUUUUGAAAUCAAAAAGGGACUAAAAAUUUUCUUGUUGUUCUCGAGUCAAAAGAGGGAGAGACUUGAGGAAAAGCUGGAGGAUUCUAGAGGUGUGCACCUCUAACCCUACGUAACCAAGUCAUCUUCAAAAUAGUUCAAAAAAGAAUUCAUCAAAAUCGUUUGAAUUCGCAAAUUGAAACUUUGGUGGAAGUCGUUCCGACGAAAGUUCGUAGUCCUGUUUGCAGUCCGUCAUAAGCGAGUCCAACUGGACCCCAUCGCCCCUGCAUUUCUUCGGGACCAAAACCAUCCUCACUCGAGUUAAAAAUCUCCAUCAAAAUCUAUCCAAGGGCUGCUAUACAUUCGUAUACAACAGAUAUACACCGAAAUAGUUUCAGCUGUACACUAUCAUACAUGUACAUGAAAAAAUGGUGUCAAACGUGCUGAUUUCUACAUUGAUAUACGGCGAACACGCGAUGGUAUACCCAAAAACUGCAGAAAAAAUGGACUGAUAUACACAUAGUAUUACACAGCUGAAAGAGGGUUGAAAAAAAAGGGCCAUUAAAAUAGGCCCAAAAAUAAUGCUGUCCAGAUUUGAAAAUGGGCUAAUUAAGGGCCCAAUUUUAAUUCUUGUGUUCUUUUUUGUAGCUUAUAUUGUUUAUCUAAAAAUUAUACAAAUACACAACUUAUGUUUUCAAUAUUACAAAAAAUCCCAACUCCG